rnacentral:rRNA from 1 species
CACGUAGGGUGCGAGCGUUGUCCGGAAUUAUUGGGCGUAAAGAGCUCGUAGGCGGUGUGUCGCGUCGGCCGUGAAAACCUGCAGCUCAACUGUGGGCUUGCGGUCGAUACGGGCAUCACUGGAGUUCGGCAGGGGAGACUGGAAUUCCUGGUGUAGCGGUGAAAUGCGCAGAUAUCAGGAGGAACACCGGUGGCGAAGGCGGGUCUCUGGGCCGAUACUGACACUGAGGAGCGAAAGCGUGGGGAGCGAACAGG